UACGUAGGGGGCAAGCGUUGUCCGGAAUUAUUGGGCGUAAAGCGCGCGUAGGCGGCCCUGUAAGUCCGUUGUGAAAGUCAAAGGCUCAACCUUUGAAAGCCGAUGGAUACUGCAGGGCUAGAGUCCGGAAGAGGCGAGUGGAAUUCCUGGUGUAGCGGUGAAAUGCGCAGAUAUCAGGAGGAACACCAAUGGCGAAGGCAGCUCGCUGGGACGGUACUGACGCCUGAGACGCGAAAGCGUGGGGAGCAAACAGG
rnacentral:rRNA from 1 species